AUCUUCGUAUCCGUCCAUGAGUGCCGCGCUCUCCUCGUGCACCAACUCUGCGUUUAUAUCUUCUCAAACGUCCGGCGGUAUGUGCGGCGCCCAGGGCACGGGCGGGGCAUCUUCAGGGGUCAGUUCCACCCUCACUUCCGGCAACCCCGCAUCCUGGGCCUCCAAUCAGCUGCGUGGGGCAAUGGGCGGGCACGGAGGCUCCCCACCCACGGCCGCGGCCACUCUCACGCCCUCGUCCUUUACCCAUGGACUGGCCCAUCACGCCCGCACUCCCGCACAACACUUUCCUACGCCAGUCUAUUCUUGGUACUGAUUCUGCCCCGCUGUAGGUUGGACCGAUAAGGGUUAGCAGUGAACAUCUGAAACGGAAGAUAUGCACACAAAGGAGAUUUCUAACCGGUUGCCGUUGCUAUUACCUGAAUUAUCUGGACUUUGCAAAGCAUUCAGAUUCUCAAAGUGCUUAAGUUUUUAAAUUAGAAGAAGCAUUGAGGAAGGUAUCUUAGAAAUAAUAAGAUAACAUAGAGACCGUAUACUCUGCUUUAAACAAACCUCUCGUUUAGGUAAACUUCCUUAGUAUAUUAGAGUUCCAAAAGUCACUGGGAUUUCUGCAUUGUACAAAUACUACAUGAUUGCUACGCCUCGCGUAGACUUAGUAAACAUCGCUUUGAGAAAAUAAGAAUUGCACAAAAAGUACAAUUUUCUUGUACAUCUGAACAAGUUUGUAGAGAAACACAUCAUUUUGAUAGAAUCAUUAGUUCCAUUUGUAUAAUAUUUCGUAAACAGGCUUUAGUUUAUCACACGACCCUCUUAUUUUUUCAUUUAUUUACUUUCAAAUUCUCUCAGAUAUCAUGAACAUGACCUCUCGUCGCCCUCCAUUGUUGUCUCUGUUGAGUGGAGAAUUUUCAUGAUUUAUAUGUUUUUAUUUUCCCUCUGUGAGCUUCAGUUCUUUUCGCAAAAUGCAAAUAAAGCAAGUGAAUGAAACGAGUAAUAUUAGGAAAAAUGAACACGAUCUUCCUACGAGCGAGAAACAUAGCUGUGAAGCACGAACAAGGCAGGACAUGAAACGCAGUGCGAGCGGAGGCAGAUUCGUGGCCAAGAGCACGCAUGGCCCAGGGCGCGGAUCACGGCCAAGUGUGACCCAUGCCUACUGGGCCAAGCGAAGACCAAGGAAACGGGAAAAUUGUUUGGACGCAAACUAACACUCAUUUGAAGCCAGGAUCCAGCCUGAGUCUGCGCUUCAAAGAUUACAAAAUAGUGUGAGAGACGAAUCGCUGCGUUUUGGCUUAAGUGGUGAUAUUUUCAAUACGCCUGAAAAAUGUUACCAAUUUACCCUCAUUUCGGUGCGUUAGGAUGGUAGGACAGGGCGCAGGCUAACUAGGAAAAGGAAUGCAUAUACAACACAAUGAAAUGAGUGUCUUAGUAGUACCUUAAGAUGUGAUAUUGUUUCUCAUGUCUAAACAUUAAGAUUUUUAUAAGAUGAAUUGAUAACGCCUGCGCAAUAUAGUUUUAAUUUAUCUUUGUGAUCGAUAUUCCUGUGUCUCUUUUAUGUACCACAGUUUGUUAUUAGUUGAUGUAUAUAAAAUAUAAUCAAGACACAUAUGAGUUCCAUUCCUACGAAGUGCAUAAAAACCUUUGAUGUGUCGGUAGAUGUGUUCAUUGUACGUGGAACCAGUAG